ACGUAGGCCGCAGGCGUCCUCCUGUUCUCCUGAAGGAGAGGAGACACUAAGGCCUCCCCGGUCAGAUCUUAGAAGCCCAGGCAUAAUUAGUAGGCUUGACCAGCCUCCACGUUCCAGAUGGGGAUUCAGCCAGAAGACCCCUCCUCCCCCAGGGUCUCUCUGCAGCCCCUCUAAGGAGAAGCACCGCAGUCUGCUGCCUGAGGAUAUGCCCAGGAGCCGAUCUACGCACAAGCUGCUACACUGGUCAGGGAACAGAUGAUUCAGCCACACUGAAGUUCCAAGUGUCACUCUGGGGAGGUGGAGCCCGUUCCAAGGUCACAGGUGUAAAGCCUUGUACCAAGGCCACAGAUAACGGAGUCCUAUACCACGAUCAUCUCUGGAACCGACUGAGCUCGUUAGCAACUGUUGCUAUGAGCCUCCCCGACUUAAACGGGCCAGCUUCCUGACUCCGAAUUAGGUGCAAUACCCACCCUACAGCACCCUAACCAAUCACCUAAUGCCACCCUUCCCACAGGAAUUUUCUGUCUUGAGGCUAUGUAAAUUGGCUACAAGCCCAUGAAAAGGGUGGGCUCUCCUUGAGCCUUCCUGCUGUUCUAACAGCAUCUCCCACUCUAAUAAACUCUAUUCUCCUCUCA
ensembl:lncRNA